AAACACAGAAAAGUACAAUGCCAGUUUCAAUGCAGACAAGGGAACAGCUUCAAGUGCAGUUGCUUUCCAGGUCCAAUAAAUUGUCUGCGUAAGGCAGAAAAACAGACAAGAAAAAAUGUAUUUGUGGUCACAGUCAGGUGCAUUUGAUCUGUCAGGCUAAUAUCUGUGAUAUUAAGGACUUGAUCCUUUUUUCUUUGUAGUUGUUAUUUGUUUGUUUGUUUGUUUGUUUUUAGUUCAGUAGGAAACAAAUGCUCUUCCCAGUGGCAGGAGGGAAGCUUUCUUAAAUGCUCAAAGUAAGAAUGAAAUAAAACACGUUCAGCACGCUAAUAAGCAUGAGAAAAGGGUUACAAGUAGCAGCCUUUGCACCACAACCCAGCAUAGAUAAGAGAAUGCAGAGUUAACUGUAGAAGCAAUAACAUUCCACCUCAUCCUGAGAAAAUGAGACCAGAGGCAAAAAACAGAUGUAUGCUUGCCUGAUAUUUUUAGGGCAACAUCUUCAUACAUAUGAAUUGUCUAUGAAAUAAUAAGAUGAAUAUCUUCCUUCUGGGUUACAGUCUACCGGUGGAAUUUAAAGUAAGGCACUUUAAGAUUAAAAAACACCCGAAGAACACUUCACUGUUCUCCGUAUGUCACUCUGCUAUACUUUCCUGGCCUUGCUUCUGCAGUGAAUGUUUACUGUAGACUGCUCAGGACUGAGGCAGGAGAAUGCUAAUGGAAUCAGCAAUGUACAGAGCUGAAUCUAAAGGACUUCCCUUCUGUGCUGCAGCAUGAGGAAUGGAGCUCUACUUAUAAACUACUCUACUACCCUUUGUUAUAUUGCUUUGCAAUACGUGCACUGUUAAGGGAUGGAUUAGCCCACUGUCAUAUAAUCUGUGGCGCUGCAUGGUUUCCUCUUCACUGGACCACUGAGAGACUCAACACUGCAAACUCAGUCUAAAACACUUUGGAAUAAAAUGUCCUAU
rnacentral:lncRNA from 7 species